rnacentral:rRNA from 1 species
UACGGAGGAUGCGAGCGUUAUCCGGAUUUAUUGGGUUUAAAGGGUGCGUAGGCGGAGUGUCAAGUCAGCGGUAAAAUUUCGGGGCUCAACCUCGUCGUGCCGUUGAAACUGACGGUCUUGAGUGGGCGAGAAGUAUGCGGAAUGCGUGGUGUAGCGGUGAAAUGCAUAGAUAUCACGCAGAACUCCGAUUGCGAAGGCAGCAUACCGGCGCCCGACUGACGCUGAGGCACGAAAGUGCGGGUAUCGAACAGG